AGAAAGGUAUCUUAAACGGUAAAGAGCCAAAUUGCUAAUUUAGGUAUGUUAAGGGUUCAAGUCCCUUUCUUUCUU
rfam:Theileria orientalis strain Shintoku apicoplast DNA, partial genome.